rnacentral:tRNA from 1 species
UAAGUCCUAUGGGCGAUUAACCCACAUCUUCCAGAUGCAACCUGGACACUUUUAUUAAGCUAAAGCCUCCC